rnacentral:lncRNA from 1 species
UGGGACAUAUUCCAUGAUUGUAGCUUCUUUUUGCUUUACCAUUCUCGUCUUUCCAAUUCUCUGGCCUCCUUUUUCUGCUCCUUACCGUAAAGCUUCUACUGUUUGACACAUUAAGUAGCAGAUAACUAAUCAGUUUCAACACUCAUUGAUACUGACAUUGAAUUGAUUUUCUGAGAUUGAAUAUUGAAAAAUGGCGGGUGAGUGGAGCUGGGAGCAGAAGAUGUUAAUCAAUGAGCUAAUUCAAGGGAUGGAACAAGCCAAACAGUUGAAGGUUCAACUGGGUACGAAAUCCACUGCCCAAACCAGACAAGUGCUUGUGCAGAAUAUAUUAUCUUCUUAUGAGAAGGCUCUUUCGAUCUUGAAAUGGGGUGGAUCAAUCACUCAUCCUCAAACUGUUGAACCUGAGUCCCCUCUGUCCAUCAACGGCAGUCCAGGGAGUGACUAUUUUGAUGUGUCUCUUAAGGACAGUCAAGACACCAAAGGGUAUUCAAAGAAGAGGUGAAGUAAUACAUACCCAUAUACGUUAAGUUUCCUGUCAUGUUGCAGCAACAUUAACAGGUUUUCUGACAUUGCAUUGCAGAAAGAUGUUGCCAAAAUGGACAGAACACAUGAGAGUUAGCACUGAGACAGGAUUUGAAGGACCAGUUGAUGAUGGCUAUAGCUGGAGAAAAUAUGGACAGAAAGAUAUAUUAGGAGCUAAAUAUCCUAGGUGACGUGUCUUUCAUAACUUACAUUAAUAUAAACAUCAGCAGAAAAAGAAAGAUAUAAAAGUUUUUUAUAAAGGAAAAUUGGUACCUGCCUUUUUACGGUAAAAAGAAUCUGACAGAGAUUGUUGCAUGUGCAGGAGCUAUUACAGAUGCACUUACCGCAACACACAGAACUGUUGGGCUACAAAGCAAGUUCAACGGUCAGACAAGGAUCCCACCAUAUUUGAAGUUACAUACAGAGGAGUGCAUGCCUGUUCCCAUGGAACACAAUUAGUUCAACCACCAGCAUCCCCCGACAAAGAUGAACACAAGCUACACAACCAUAAUCAUCAACAGAAAGAAUCACAAGAAAUUCUCUUAAAUCUUCGACAAGACCUAACAAUCAAAACUGAGGGCUUGAACAAAAAUGACAUGCCACCUUCUUUCUCUUUCCCAUCGACAUCAUUUAGCUGCAGAAAUAGAGAAAACCAUAAUUUCUCACCACCUACAUUUGAGAAUAACAUUGUGUCAUGUUUCUUUUCUCCCUCAUUUAUAUCUCCAGCAACACCUGAAUCAAACUACCGCUCAGCUUUGCCAUUCCAAAUGAACAAC